rnacentral:rRNA from 1 species
AUUGAACGCUGGCGGCAGGCCUAACACAUGCAAGUCGAGCGGAUGAAGGGAGCUUGCUCCUGGAUUCAGCGGCGAACGGGUGAGUAAUGCCUAGGAAUCUGCCUGGUAGUGGGGGAUAACGUCCGGAAACGGGCGCUAAUACCGCAUACGUCCUGAGGGAGAAAGUGGGGGAUCUUCGGACCUCACGCUAUCAGAUGAGCCUAGGUCGGAUUAGCUAGUUGGUGGGGUAAAGGCCUACCAAGGCGACGAUCCGUAACUGGUCUGAGAGGAUGAUCAGUCACACUGGAACUGAGACACGGUCCAGACUCCUACGGGAGGCAGCAGUGGGGAAUAUUGGACAAUGGGCGAAAGCCUGAUCCAGCCAUGCCGCGUGUGUGAAGAAGGUCUUCGGAUUGUAAAGCACUUUAAGUUGGGAGGAAGGGCAGUAAGUUAAUACCUUGCUGUUUUGACGGUACCAACAGAAUAAGCACCGGCUAACUUCGUG